rnacentral:tRNA from 1 species
GCCUGGGUGGCUCAGUGGUUGAGCAUCUGCCUUCAGCUCAGGGUGUGAUCCUGGGGUCCUGGGAUCGAGUCCCACAUCGGGCU